UUUGAUGGCGACCGGCGCACGGGUGAGUAACACGUAUCCAACCUGCCGAUGACUCGGGGAUAGCCUUUCGAAAGAAAGAUUAAUACCCGAUGGCAUAGUUCUUCCGCAUGGUGGAACUAUUAAAGAAUUUCGGUCAUCGAUGGGGAUGCGUUCCAUUAGGUUGUUGGCGGGGUAACGGCCCACCAAGCCUUCGAUGGAUAGGGGUUCUGAGAGGAAGGUCCCCCACAUUGGAACUGAGACACGGUCCAAACUCCUAGGGAGGCAGCAUG
rnacentral:rRNA from 1 species